UUUUUUCCCAAAGGGGAGUAGCGUCCGGAUGUAAACCGGAAACAAAGUCGUCAGUUCAUGGAUGUGCAUCCAUCGGCUUUGUUGGCAUGUUUUAAUCAAUGACCAUGUCUAGCAAGACCUUUGCCUAAUGUUGGCAGAGGUCUUUUUUGUUUGCCGAAAUACCCUGCC
rnacentral:sRNA from 1 species